rnacentral:rRNA from 1 species
CCGGCACGGGUGAGUAACACGUAUCCAACCCGCCGUCUACUCUUGGACAGCCUUCUGAAAGGAAGAUUAAUACAAGAUGGCAUCAUGAGUCCGCAUGUUCACAUGAUUAAAGGUAUUCCGGUAGACGAUGGGGAUGCGUUCCAUUAGAUAGUAGGCGGGGUAACGGCCCACCUAGUCUUCGAUGGAUAGGGGUUCUGAGAGGAAGGUCCCCCACAUUGGAACUGAGACACGGUCCAA